rnacentral:rRNA from 1 species
AUUACCGAGUGAGGGCCCUCUGGGUCCAACCUCCCACCCGUGUUUAUUUUACCUUGUUGCUUCGGCGGGCCCGCCUUAACUGGCCGCCGGGGGGCUUACGCCCCCGGGCCCGCGCCCGCCGAAGACACCCUCGAACUCUGUCUGAAGAUUGUAGUCUGAGUGAAAAUAUAAAUUAUUUAAAACUUUCAACAACGGAUCUCUUGGUUCCGGCAUCGAUGAAGAACGCAGCGAAAUGCGAUACGUAAUGUGAAUUGCAAAUUCAGUGAAUCAUCGAGUCUUUGAACGCACAUUGCGCCCCCUGGUAUUCCGGGGGGCAUGCCUGUCCGAGCGUCAUUGCUGCCCUCAAGCACGGCUUGUGUGUUGGGCCCCGUCCUCCGAUCCCGGGGGACGGGCCCGAAAGGCAGCGGCGGCACCGCGUCCGGUCCUCGAGCGUAUGGGGCUUUGUCACCCGCUCUGUAGGCCCGGCCGGCGCUUGCCGAUCAACCCAAAUUUUUAUCCAGGUUGACCUCGGAUCAGGUAGGGAUACCCGCUGAACUUAAGCAUAU